UACGAGGGGGGGCGAGCGUUUGUUCGGAAUUAUUGGGCGUAAAGGGUGCGUAGGCGGUUUGGUAAGUCUUAUGUGAAAUCUACAGGCUCAACUUGUAGUCUGCAUGAGAAACUGCCGGGCUUGAGUAUGGGAGAGGUGAGUGGAAUUCCUGGUGUAGCGGUGGAAUGCGUAGAGAUCCGGAAGAACACCAGUGGCGAAGGCGGCCUGCUGGGCAGUUGCUGACGCUGAGGCGCGACAGCGUGGGGGAGCAAACAGG
rnacentral:rRNA from 1 species